rnacentral:rRNA from 1 species
AUUGAACGCUGGCGGCAGGCCUAACACAUGCAAGUCGAACGAGUGGCGGACGGGUGAGUAAUGGCUGGGAAACUGCCUGAUGGAGGGGGAAAACUACUGGAAACGGUAGCUAAUACCGCAUACCAUCGGAUGUGCCCAGGUGGGAUUAGCUAGUAGGUGGGGUAAAUGCUCACCUAGGCGAAGAUCCCUAGCUGGUCUGAGAGGAAGACCAGCCACACUGGGACUGAGCCCACGUCCAGACUCCUACGGGAGGCAGCAGUGGGGAAUAUUGCACAAUUGGCGCAAGCCUGAUACAGCCAUGCCGCGUGUAUGAAGAAGGCCUUCGGGUUGUAAAGUACUUUCAGCGUGGAGGCGUUACCCGCAGAAGAAGCACCGGCUAACUCCGUGCCAGCAGCCGCGGUAAUUC